rnacentral:lncRNA from 1 species
AUUAUUUGUAUUAACUAUUUUAGAAUUUAAGACUGACACAUUUUCAUAUGCCAUAUGAAAUGUUUAUGUGUUUAAUGUUUAAUCUAUUCAAAAAUAUUAGAAAAAAAGAUUGCGCCACUGUGCUCCAGCCUGGCAACAGAGCGACACUCUGUCUCAAAAAAAAAAAAAAGAGACAGAUACAGAAGUAAGCUAUACACAGCCAGCUAGAAGAUUCCAUGGUGAGAACUUUUAAAACAUAGACAAGUGAUACUCAAUUUUAAGUUAGAGCCUGUACUAUGCACUGCUUUAAUCCUCUGGACUUACUGCAAACCGGAAUAACAAACAAAAAUUGAAUUCAUUUGAAAAAUAAAGGAGAAGAAGAAAAGACGUAAAAUUGUUUGGAAAAAUAAUGCAUUUAAUAUUUUUUUUUUUUUUUCUGAGAUGGAGUCUUGCUCUGUUACCCAGGCUGGAGUGCAGUGGUGUAAGCUUGGCUCACUGCAACUUCUGCCUUCCAGGUUCAAGCGAUUCUCAUUCCUCAGCCUUACAAGCAGCUGGGACUACAGAUGCAUGCCACCAUGCCUGGCUAAUUUUUGUAUUUUUAGUAGAGAUGGGGUUUCACCAUGUUUGCCAGGCUG